rnacentral:rRNA from 1 species
AUGGCAGCAACUCACCAUGGCUACAAUGUCCUCAAGAUGCCAGGAACUCGCGGUAUCAUCACGGUCGUCUGUGACGAAAAGGAUGUGGUGUGCUCCCUCAAGCGCGCCUACCAGGUCGAGGCAGUCGAGAAAUCAUAUGGAGAGGGUGCCAUUAUACCUCCUGAGGCCAUCCCCAAGAAGAAGAAGGAGCUCCUGCCCAAGGGCCAUCAGGAGGUUGAGGCGUCUGCUGAUCGUGCCUCGGGCCCGCACCCACUACUGGGGCGCCUUUCCCUCUCGCAUAGGAAGGCACACCCGGCGCCCCUCUCAGGACGGGCUCAGGGGCUCUCAUCUGGAGGGCCUCCGGCCUGA